GCUUCUGUAGCUCAGUUGGUAGAGCGCAUCCUUGGUAAGGAUGAGGUCUCCGGUUCAAGUCCGGUCAGAAGCU
rnacentral:tRNA from 2 species